GAUGAACGCUGGCGGCGUGCUUAACACGUGCAAGUCGAACGAAGCAUUUAAGACAGAUUACUUCGGUUUGAAGUCUUUUAUGACUGAGUGGCGGACGGGUGAGUAACGCGUGGGUAACCUGCCUCAUACAGGGGGAUAGCAGCUGGAAACGGCUGGUAAUACCGCAUAAGCGCACAGUACCACAUGGUACAGUGUGAAAAACUCCGGUGGUAUGAGAUGGACCCGCGUCUGAUUAGCUUGUUGGCGGGGUAACGGCCCACCAAGGCGACGAUCAGUAGCCGACCUGAGAGGGUGACCGGCCACAUUGGGACUGAGACACGGCCCAGACUCCUACGGGAGGCAGCAGUGGGGAAUAUUGCACAAUGGAGGAAACUCUGAUGCAGCGACGCCGCGUGAGUGAAGAAGUAGUUCGCUAUGUAAAGCUCUAUCAGCAGGGAAGAUAGUGACGGUACCUGACUAAGAAGCUCCGGCUAAAUACGUG
rnacentral:rRNA from 1 species